rnacentral:tRNA from 1 species
CGGGGUAGCUCAGUCGGUAGAGCAGAGGACUGAAAAUCCUCGUGUCGGCGGUUCGAUUCCGUCCCCC